rnacentral:rRNA from 1 species
GACUAACGCUGGCGGCGUGCUUAACACAUGCAAGUCGAACGAAGUGGCGACCGGGUGAGUAACGCGUAAUCAACCUGCCCUUCAGAGGGGGACACCAGUUGGAAACGACUGCUAAUACCGCAUACUGAAGGAGGGGCUUGCGUCUGAUUAGCUAGUUGGAGGGGUAACGGCCCACCAAGGCGAUGAUCAGUAGCCGGUCGGAGAGGAAGAAAGGCCAACGUGGGACUGAGAAACGGCCUAGACGCGUCCGGGAGGCAGCAGUGGGGAAUCUCCCGCGAUGGACGAGAGUCUGACGGAGAAACGCAGAGUGGGUGAUGACGGCCUUCGGGUUGUAAAGCUCUGUUAAUCGAGACGCGGUACCGGAAUAGAAGGACACGGGUAACUACGUGGCAGCAGCCGCGGUAAUAC